rnacentral:rRNA from 1 species
AUUGAACGCUGGCGGCAUGCUUUACACAUGCAAGUCGAACGGCAGCGGGGGCUUCGGCCUGCCGGCGAGUGGCGAACGGGUGAGUAAUGCAUCGGAACGUGCCCAUGUCGUGGGGGAUAACUACGCGAAAGCGUGGCUAAUACCGCAUACGCCCUGAGGGGGAAAGCGGGGGAUCUUUCGGGACCUCGCGCGCUUGGAGCGGCCGAUGUCGGAUUAGCUAGUUGGUGGGGUAAAGGCUCACCAAGGCGACGAUCCGUAGCUGGUCUGAGAGGAGGAUCAGCCACACUGGGACUGAGACACGGCCCAGACUCCUACGGGAGGCAGCAGUGGGGAAUUUUGGACAAUGGGCGCAAGCCUGAUCCAGCCAUGCCGCGUGAGUGAAGAAGGCCUUCGGGUUGUAAAGCUCUUUCGGCCGGGAAGAAAUCGCAUUCUCUAAUAUAGGAUGUGGAUGACGGUACCGGACUAAGAAGCACCGGCUAACUACGUGCCAGCCGCCGCUGUAAUAC